UUAUCCUUUUGCGUUUGUGUCGCUAAUGCGAUCACUCGCUAAUUUAAGACACACUAUGAGUUUUAGAUGCUAUCUUCUAAAAUUCGGCGUAUAAAAAUCCAUGCAUGCUCUUGUAUGGUCGGGUACCUAGUUUAAGCGAUCUUGCUUUUGAUCGUGUUGGUUUGAAGAUAGUUCAUCCCAUGUGAACUACGCCCGCUAAAUUGCAUAAAAUUUUAUAACAUUUUAUAAAAACUUCUAUUCUUAGUGUUGUUUUUUUAAUUAAAAAAUAAGUGCGUCGGUACUUGUGAUUUAACUAAAAUACAACCCUAUGCGGUGGACCACUUGGCUCGCGAGUCGAUGAAGAGCGCAGCAAACUGCGUGAAUUAAUGUGAUUUGCAGGACACAUUGAUCAUCGAUAUCUUGAACGCAUAUUGCGGUUAUGGAUCGCUUCCAUGACCACGCCUGUCUGAGGGUCGGUAUUAAUAUGUAAAAUCGUGAAUAGUGCUUGCACUAUUGUUCGGUCGUUAAAUUAACUAUUUAUCGACUUUAGAUGUGUUUUUAACUAAUCGUAUAUUAGUUAAAGUGCAUUUUAUUCAUAUCAUAGAAAUUGCAAAGCUCAGCUUGCUUUGGCAAACAAAAAUUGCGUAGCUUAUCUCCAUAUUUGUUUGCAUGUAAGUGUUUGCUGUGUGAGUCGAUUUCAAGCUUUAAUGUUAUGAAUUAACAAACGAUGCAAUAAUGAAUUUAAUUUCAUUCAUUUUCGACCUCAGAUCAGACGAGAUUA
rnacentral:rRNA from 1 species